ACGGCGAGUGAAGCGGCAACAGCUCAAAUUUGAAAUCUGGCUUCGGCCCGAGUUGUAAUUUGCAGAGGAUGCUUUUGGUGCGGUGCCUUCCGAGUUCCCUGGAACGGGACGCCACAGAGGGUGAGAGCCCCGUAUGGUCGGACACCAAUCCUGUGUAAAGCUCCUUCGACGAGUCGAGUAGUUUGGGAAUGCUGCUCUAAAUGGGAGGUAAAUCUCUUCUAAAGCUAAAUACCGGCCAGAGACCGAUAGCGCACAAGUAGAGUGAUCGAAAGAUGAAAAGCACCUUGAAAAGGGGGUUAAACAGUACGUGAAAUUGUUGAAAGGGAAGCACUUGUGACCAGACUUGGGCCGGGCGGCUCAUCAGGGGUUCUCCCCUGUGCAUUCCGCCCGGUACAGGCCAGCAUCGGUUCUUACCGGGGGAUAAGAACGGCAGGAACGUGGCUCCCUCUCGGGGGAGUGUUAUAGCCUGCCGUACGAUACCCUGGCGGGGACCGAGGUUCGCGCUUCCGCAAGGAUGCUGGCGUAAUGGUUACUAGUGACCCGUCUUGAAACACGGACCAAGGAGUCGUCCAUUAGAGCGAGCGUUUGGGUGUAAAACCCGCACGCGUAAUGAAAGUGAAAUUAGGUGAGAGCUUCGGCGCAUCAUCGACCGAUCCUGAUGUUCUCGGAUGGAUUUGAGUAAGAGUUUUAACGGACGGACCCGAAAGACAGUGAACUAUGCUUGUAUAGGGUGAAGCCAGAGGAAACUCUGGUGGAGGCUCGCAGCGGUUCUGACGU
rnacentral:rRNA from 1 species